GACGAACGCUGGCGGCGUGCUUAACGCAUGCAAGUCGAACGCUGAAGCUCAGCUUUUGUUGGGUGGAUGAGUGGCGAACGGGUGAGUAACACGUGAGUAACCUGCCUCCUUCUUUGGGAUAACGCCCGGAAACGGGUGCUAAUACUGGAUAUUCACUGGUCUUCGCAUGGGGGUUGGUGGAAAGGGUUUUUCUGGUGGGGGAUGGGCUCGCGGCCUAUCAGCUUGUUGGUGGGGUGAUGGCCUACCAAGGCUUUGACGGGUAGCCGGCCUGAGAGGGUGACCGGUCACAUUGGGACUGAGAUACGGCCCAGACUCCUACGGGAGGCAGCAGUGGGGAAUAUUGCACAAUGGGCGCAAGCCUGAUGCAGCGACGCCGCGUGAGGGAUGGAGGCCUUCGGGUUGUGAACCUCUUUCGCUCAUGGUCAAGCCGCAACAAUGGUUGUGGUGAGGGUAGUGGGUAAAGAAGCGCCGGCUAACUACGUG
rnacentral:rRNA from 1 species